UACGGAGGAUCCGAGCGUUAUCCGGAUUUAUUGGGUUUAAAGGGUGCGCAGGCGGGAGAUUAAGUCGGCGGUGAAAUUUUGCAGCUCAACUGUAAAAGUGCCUUCGAAACUGGUUUCCUUGAGUGUAGAUGAAGUAGGCGGAAUUUGUGGUGUAGCGGUGAAAUGCAUAGAUAUCACGAGGAACUCCGAUUGCGAAGGCAGCUUACUAAGCUACUACUGACGCUCAGGCACGAAGGCGCGGGGAUCAAACAGGAUUAGAUACCCGGGUAGU
rnacentral:rRNA from 1 species